UUCAUUUCACAUAUUCCUCUCUCUCUAGAACAGAAACCUUGCCCUAACUCAAGUGCUCUGACUUCUCUCUAGGUUUCCAGCCAUUUCCACCGAUUGAAUCCUAAUUUGGUGGUGUUUUCUUGUUCCUGGAGUCAAGAGCUACGAAACCAUCCGAUUGGUUUUGCGUUCCAGCGGGUUCUGUACAGUUUCGCACGGUGUAGGGGGUACUGUUAGAGCAUCUGUGAACUGUGUUGAGCAACCCACCAGAGGAGAAUGAGGCCUCAGUGGAGAAUGUCCUGGAGGGGAAUGAGGAAGCAACUUCUUAGUCUCUUUAGGAAUUCCAUAGCUUUCCUAUGUAUCUGAACAAUUCCAGUUCUU